GAUGAACGCUGGCGGCGUGCCUAAUACAUGCAAGUCGAACGAAACUUCUUUAUCACCGAGUGCUUGCACUCACCAAUAAAGAGUUGAGUGGCGAACGGGUGAGUAACACGUGGGCAACCUGCCCAAAAGAGGGGGAUAACACUUGGAAACAGGUGCUAAUACCGCAUAACCAUAGUUACCGCAUGGUAACUAUGUAAAAGGUGGCUAUACUACCGCUUUUGGAUGGGCCCGCGGCGCAUUAGCUAGUUGGUAGGGUAAAGGCUUACCAAGGCAAUGAUGCGUAGCCGAAUUGAGAGGUUGAUCGGCCACAUUGGGACUGAGACACGGCCCAAACUCCUACGGGAGGCAGCAGUAGGGAAUCUUCCACAAUGGGCGAAAGCCUGAUGGAGCAACGCCGCGUGGGUGAAGAAGGUCUUCGGAUCGUAAAACCCUGUUGUUAGAGAAGAAAGUGCGUGAGAGUAACUGUUCACGUUUCGACGGUAUCUAACCAGAAAGCCACUGCUAACUACGUG
rnacentral:rRNA from 1 species